rnacentral:rRNA from 1 species
CCUACGGGCGGCAGCAGUGGGGAAUAUUGGACAAUGGGGGGAACCCUGAUCCAGCGACGCCGCGUGAGUGAAGAAGUAUUUCGGUAUGUAAACUUCUUUUCUCAGGGACGAAGCAAGUGACGGUACCUGAGGAAUAAGCCACGGCUAACUACGUGCCAGCAGCCGCGGUAAUACGUAGGUGGCAAGCGUUAUCCGGAUUUACUGGGUGUAAAGGGCGUGUAGGCGGGGACGCAAGUCAGAUGUGAAAACCACGGGCUCAACCUGUGGCCUGCAUUUGAAACUGUGUUUCUUGAGUACUGGAGAGGCAGACGGAAUUCCUAGUGUAGCGGUGAAAUGCGUAGAUAUUAGGAGGAACACCAGUGGCGAAGGCGGCUUACUGGACUGUAACUGACGUUGAGGCUCGAAAGCGUGGGGAGCAAACAGGAUUAGAUACCCGUGUAGUC